rnacentral:rRNA from 1 species
AGAAUCAACGCUGGCGGCGUGCCUAACACAUGCAAGUCGAACGAGAAAGGGUAGCAAUACCUGAGUACAGUGGCGCACGGGUGAGUAACACGUGACUAACCUACCCUUGAGUGGGGGAUAACUGAGGGAAACCUUAGCUAAUACCGCAUAAUACCUACGGGUCAAAGGAGCAAUUCGCUUUAGGAGGGGGUCGCGGUCGAUUAGUUAGUUGGCGGGGUAAUGGCCCACCAAGACUGUGAUCGAUA